rnacentral:rRNA from 1 species
AUACGGAGGAUGCGAGCGUUAUCCGGAUUUAUUGGGUUUAAAGGGUGCGUAGGCUGUGCGUUAAGUCAGGGGUGAAAUGCCGUCGCUCAACGACGGAGCUGCCCUUGAUACUGGCGUGCUGGAGUACGGAUGCCGUUGGAGGAAUGAGUGGUGUAGCGGUGAAAUGCUUAGAUAUCACUCAGAACACCGAUUGCGAAGGCAUCUGACGAAUCCGUCACUGACGCUGAGGCACGAAAGCGUGGGGAUAGAACAGGAUUAGAUACCCUGGUAUUCCACGCCGUAAACUAUGAUGACUAACCGUCGGCGAUAGACAGCCGGUGGCCAAGCGAAAGCGAUAAGUCAUCCACCUGGGGAGUACGUCGGCAACGAUGAAACUCAAAGGAAUCGACGGGG